rnacentral:rRNA from 1 species
UACGGAGGGUGCAAGCGUUAUCCGGAUUUACUGGGCGUAAAGGGCGCGUAGGCGGGUUGGUAAGUCAGAGGUGAAAUCUCCGAGCUUAACUUGGAAACUGCCAUUGAUACUAUCAGUCUUGAAUAUUGUGGAGGUCAGCGGAAUAUGUCAUGUAGCGGUGAAAUGCUUAGAUAUGACAUAGAACACCGAUUGCGAAGGCAGCUGGCUGCACAUAUAUUGACACUGAGGCACGAAAGCGUGGGGAUCAAACAGG